AGCAGCCGCGGUAAUUCCAGCUCCAAUAGCGUAUAUUAAAGUUGCUGCAGUUAAAAAGCUCGUAGUUGAAUUUCGGGACUAAUAUGUCGGUCGUGCCUCGGUACGCACUGGCUUAUUGGUUUCUCCUUUCUGAAGAACCAUGAUGUCAUUUAUUUGGUGUCGUGGGGAAUCAGGACUGUUACUUUGAAAAAAUUAGAGUGUUUAAAGCAGGCUCACGCUUGAAUACAUUAGCAUGGAAUAAUGAAAUAGGACGUUUGAUUCUAUUUUGUUGGUUUCUAGGAUCGACGUAAUGAUUAAUAGGGAUAGUUGGGGGCAUUAGUAUUCAAUUGUCAGAGGUGAAAUUCUUGGAUUUACUGAAGACUAACUACUGCGAAAGCAUUUGCCAAGGAUGUUUUCAUUAAUCAAGAACGAAAGUUAGGGGAUCGAAGACGAUCAGAUACCGUCGUAGUCUUAACCAUAAACUAUGCCGACUAGGGAUCGGAUGAUGUUAAUUUUUUAAUGACUCA
rnacentral:rRNA from 1 species